CAGUAGCCACGGUAAUACGUAGGUGGCAAGCGUUGUCCGGAAUUAUUGGGCGUAAAGGGCUCGCAGGCGGUUUCUUAAGCCUGAUGUGAAAGCCCCCGGCUCAACCGGGGAGGGUCAUUGGAAACUGGGAAACUUGAGUGCAGAAGAGGAGAGUGGAAUUCCGCGUGUAGCGGUGAAAUGCGUAGAGAUGUGGAGGAACACCAGUGGCGAAGGCGACUCUCUGGUCUGUAACUGACGCUGAGGAGCGAAAGCGUGGGGAGCGAACAGGAUUAGAUACCCGCGUAGUCCCUGUCUCUUAUAC
rnacentral:rRNA from 1 species